AGGUUUUGGAAUUUGGAUUUCGGUCUUUUUUUUUAUUAUUGAUCUUUUAAUUUCUAUUUUUAAUCUUCUUUUAAUUUCGAUUUUAUUGUAUAUUCAGGAGCGAUUACUGGGUUUUGCACUAGGAAGUACUUCGAUGGGUGUCGUCAUGUUCACAAGAGAAGAAUUUACAGGACUAUAUCUGAGAGUAAUGCUGAAUUCGAUAAUUAACCACAGUGCUAUUGAUAGAAGGAUUGAAAAACUCAACAAAUGAUAUACUUCAAUAUGAGCAUUCAACAAACAUGUGCAAGCUGAUCAAUCUUGAUCUUGUGAAAAGUAUAGACAAUUUGUUCGUGUUGUUGCUGAUGAAUUAGGUACUGAUACAACAAUGAUACCCAUCAAGCAUCCUUGAACCUUUUGUCAUGGUUAGGGAUGACAACGGGACAAAUUUGGAUCAGAUCUAGGUGGACUCGGAUCCAAAUUCGUUUUCAAGAGCAGGACCCAAAUCCGGACCUUGUUGAUUGCCAUCCAUCUCUACUAAUGCACUAUUUGGAUGAAGGAGUUGGAGGAAAAGGGAGGAAAUGAAGGGAGAAAGCAAGAUCUUGGGAGCCUUCUAACAACAAAGUUAAGCUUAUAAAGCUAAACCUCACUUUAUAAAUAUGGACAUCAUCUAAAUACUCUUUUAUGACCUAAAAUAUCCAUUAAUGCCAUAGAUUUUAUCUACUCGGAUUCACCGUAUUAAGAAUCAAUUGUCAGAUAAUUAAAAUCUUAGCCAGUAGAUGUACGAUGUUGUGGUUUACUCCUUCAUUGUUGUUUAAGUAUUAUUUAUAAUUAAUUACUGAUAGUGAAAUGCUUGUUAGGUGGGGGGUUGGAUGAAAUGCUGUUAACACAAAAAACUGAUGAAAACAUUCAUUCAAUGGAAUCAUAGGCCUUGGCCAUGUCAAUCUUAAGCAUAAACCUAGGAGUGAUAGAAGACCAAGUAUAACCUCAAAUGAGAUCAUAUCCAUAGUGUCACACACCACCUUUUGAAGCUUCGAAAUAAGGAUUUUUUCAAUAAUCUUGUAAAUAACUUAGCAACAUGAGUUAAGCUUGAAAUCUUUUUCAUGAGAAGCAUUAGCAACUUUUGGACAAGAUUAAUAGGAGUAACAUUAGUAGGAGGAAAGAUGAUAUUAGAAAAGAAUUCAUUCAAAGCAUCUACAAUGUCUUGCUCAUGUUGAAAUCUUGUAAACAAC